rnacentral:snRNA from 1 species
AUGCUCGCUUCAGCAGCACAUAUACUAAAAUUGGAACGAUGCAGAGAAGAUUAGCAUGGCCCCUGCACAAGGAUGACAGACAAAUUUGUGAAGCGUUCCAUAUUUUA